GGGGGUAUGGUGUAGAGGUAACACUGUUCAUUCGCACGUGGCCCUGAUGGCCUGCGUUGAGAUCUUGAACCGCCCCGCGUUCGAGUCGCGGUUCCUCCA